GACGAACGCUGGCGGCGUGCCUAAUACAUGCAAGUCGAGCGAGUCUGCCUUGAAGAUCGGAGUGCUUGCACUCUGUGAAACAAGAUACAGGCUAGCGGCGGACGGGUGAGUAACACGUGGGUAACCUGCCCAAGAGAUCGGGAUAACACCUGGAAACAGAUGCUAAUACCGGAUAACAACAGAUGAUGCCUAUCAACUGUUUAAAAGAUGGUUCUGCUAUCACUCUUGGAUGGACCUGCGGUGCAUUAGCUAGUUGGUAGGUUAACGGCCUACCAAGGCGAUGAUGCAUAGCCGAGUUGAGAGACUGAUCGGCCACAUUGGGACUGAGACACGGCCCAAACUCCUACGGGAGGCAGCAGUAGGGAAUCUUCCACAAUGGACGCAAGUCUGAUGGAGCAACGCCGCGUGAGUGAAGAAGGGUUUCGGCUCGUAAAGCUCUGUUGUUGGUGAAGAAGGACAGGGGUAGUAACUGACCUUUGUUUGACGGUAAUCAAUUAGAAAGUCACGGCUAACUACGUG
rnacentral:rRNA from 1 species